GACGAACGCUGGCGGCGUGCUUAACACAUGCAAGUCGAACGGUAAGGCCCUUCGGGGUACACGAGUGGCGAACGGGUGAGUAACACGUGGGUGAUCUGCCCUGCACUUCGGGAUAAGCCUGGGAAACUGGGUCUAAUACCGGAUAGGACCCUGGGAUGCAUGUCCUGGGGUGGAAAGCUUUUGCGGUGUGGGAUGGGCCCGCGGCCUAUCAGCUUGUUGGUGGGGUGAUGGCCUACCAAGGCGACGACGGGUAGCCGGCCUGAGAGGGUGAGCGGCCACACGGGGACGGGGCUACGGCCCAGACUCCUACGGGAGGCAGCAGUGGGGAAUAUUGCACAAUGGGCGCAAGCCUGAUGCAGCGACGCCGCGUGAGGGAUGACGGCCUUCGGGUUGUAAACCUCUUUCAGCACCGACGAAGCGCAAGUGACGGUAGGUGCAGAAGAAGGACCGGCCAACUACGUGCCAGCCGCCGCCGUAA
rnacentral:rRNA from 1 species